rnacentral:rRNA from 1 species
UACGGAGGGUGCGAGCGUUAAUCGGAAUUACUGGGCGUAAAGCGCACGCAGGCGGUUUGUUAAGCUAGAUGUGAAAGCCCCGGGCUCAACCUGGGAUGGUCAUUUAGAACUGGCAGACUAGAGUCUUGGAGAGGGGAGUGGAAUUCCAGGUGUAGCGGUGAAAUGCGUAGAUAUCUGGAGGAACAUCAGUGGCGAAGGCGACUCCCUGGCCAAAGACUGACGCUCAUGUGCGAAAGUGUGGGGAGCGAACAGC